GUGGCCUAGUGGUUAGAGCGUCCGCCUCGGAUGCAAAAGGUUGUGGGUUCGAUCCCUGGUCAAGUCA